AGGAUUACGAUACUUUCUUCGUAUGAAAUGCUACAGCUGACUAAUGUUUUGAGGACUUCGGAUCACGCAGUGAAUUGACGUUGUGAAUUGUCUUGGGUGGACUCGCUUCAGUUAAGAACAUUCUGAACCUGGGAUACAAGUUGAACUCUUUUGAUUUAAUUGGGUUUUAGCUCACCUGAUGAAUUAAGGAACUCAUGCUAAAAGAAGAUACUAGUGACAUAUUUUCUUCGGGAUGUUCUCAGAGUUUCACAGGAAAAGAAUAUCAACAAAAGUGCGGUUAUACAUAUUUUGAAGUAUAUUGUCAGUCACUAUGCAACUGCUCGGGAAAAAAAGUGUGCUAUAGUACUGGCGCUGUGAAAGCAAGGGAAAGGAAUUGGGUUCUAUAAAUGAAGGAAUAUUGGGUGAUUUAAGACUGAUGUACCGUGUAUGUAGA